UACGUAGGGGGCAAGCGUUGUCCGGAUUUAUUGGGCGUAAAGAGCGUGUAGGCGGCCAUACAGGUCAGCUGUGAAAACUCGAGGCUCAACCUCGAGACGUCGGUUGAAACCGUAUGGCUAGAGUCCGGAAGAGGAGAGUGGAAUUCCUGGUGUAGCGGUGAAAUGCGCAGAUAUCGGGAAGAACACCUAUGGCGAAGGCAGCUCUCUGGGACGGUACUGACGCUGAGACGCGAAAGCGUGGGGAGCGAACAGG
rnacentral:rRNA from 1 species